ensembl:snRNA U6 U6 spliceosomal RNA
AUGCUUGUUUCAGCAGUACAUAUACUAAAAUUGGAAUGACACAAAGAAGAUUAGCAUGGCCCCUGUGCAAGGAUGACAUGCAAAACUGUGAACCGUUCCAUAUUUUU